rnacentral:tRNA from 1 species
UCCCAAGUGGCUGAGUGGUAAAGAAUCUGCCUGCAAUGCAGGAGGCACAGGUUCUAUCCCUGGGUCAGGAA